rnacentral:rRNA from 1 species
UUGGAGGGCAAGUCUGGUGCCAGCAGCCGCGGUAAUUCCAGCUCCAAUAGCGUAUAUUAAAGUUGUUGCAGUUAAAAAGCUCGUAGUUGAAUUUCGAGACUGGUUUAUUGGUCGUGCUUUUGUACGUACUGGUAUUAUUGGUUUCUCCUUUCUGACGAAUCAUAAUGCCAUUAAUUUGGUGUUUUGGGGAAUCAGGACUGUUACUUUGAAAAAAUUAGAGUGUUUAAAGCAGGCUCACGCUUGAAUACAUUAGCAUGGAAUAACGGAAUAGGACGUUUGAUUCUAUUUUGUUGGUUUCUAGGAUCGACGUAAUGAUUAAUAGGGAUAGUUGGGGGCAUUAGUAUUCAAUUGUCAGAGGUGAAAUUCUUGGAUUUAUUGAAGACUAACUACUGCGAAAGCAUUUGCCAAGGAUGUUUUCAUUAAUCAAGAACGGAAGUUAGGGGAUCGAAGACGAUCAGAUACCGUCGUAGUCUUAACCAUAAACUAUGCCGACUAGGGAUCGGAUGAUGUUGAUUUUUUAAUGACUCAUUCGGCGCCUUACGGGAAAC